rnacentral:rRNA from 1 species
UGCCAGCAGCCGCGGUAAUACGGAGGGUGCAAGCGUUGUUCGGAAUUAUUGGGCGUAAAGCGCGUGUAGGCGGUUCGUUAAGUCUGAUGUGAAAGCCCGGGGCUCAACUUGGGAACUGCCUUUGAUACUGUUUAUCUAGAGUCCGAGAGAGGUUAGUGGAAUUCCCAGUGUAGAGGUGAAAUUCGUAGAUAUUGGGAAGAACACCAGUGGCGAAGGCGCAACACUGGGUCUUUUCUGACGCUGAGGCACGAAAGCUAGGGUAGCGAACGGGAUUAGAUA